UCAUUUCUCUAAUUUAAUAGAAAUAACCAAAACAAAAUGGUUUUCAAACAAUGCUUUAAACUGAUCUAAUACAACUUCUACAGCACAUUCCAGAGCACUUAACAGGAAGUAUUUACAGGCAGGUAAUGUAUUAAAUAAGCAGGUAAAGAAAAACUUUUUAUUACACACCAGCAAAAAACACAGGAACAGAACAAUUAGAAACAGUAACUUGGUUUAAAAAAAGUUCCAUAUGAUUAUUCAGAUAAUACAAUACCACAGAAACAGCACUUUUGUUUGAAGAAUCAUAUUAAAAGAUGAGAGAAGUUUACUAUGUGCAAAAAAGAACCAGUUCAGUUACUGGAAGCAAGAAAGAAUCCAAGAAUGGCGUGAAUUUAACCCUUCCAUGAGCAUGUUAACAUGUAAAAUAGGCUUUCAACUGCACAAGUCUUUAUAGGCUUAUAUACAUGUUUGAUGGUGUUCUGAACCGAAGGAAUACCCCGUUUGCAGGCCAUUAGCAGACAUGCACCUCCUUUUCUGACAUGUAGCUUACUCUAGAGUGGAUGCUGCAACAAGUCAAACUUAUAAAAUGCUUUAGUACCUCUCCUUGUAGAAAGUCCAUAAAUCCUAAAGAAAGCAGCCUUGUGCUGGAAGAUCACUCGUAGAAAAGGCCAGAAUCGCAUUUCACACAUUGAACAGUUCAUUUGUAACAAAGAUGGAAGAGUUACUGCACACACACUUUGACAAACGAGGAACUUCCCUAUCUGAGGAUACAACGUUCAAGCUGAAAUACGUCUGUGUAAACUGUGGCACAGAAAUUGGGUUUCUUACAAAAGUACCUCCAUUAUUUUACCCAAACACCUCCUUUAUAGAAAAAUAUGGAACUUUCCCCACUUUUUAAGACAAAAUGCCACACUCUCGCCAAGAACUCCUGCACACUUCUGGUUUUAAAAGCUAGACUUGGUGAUACGCAUACAAACCUCUAGCCAAAGGAAAGGAUGCCUGGCAUGCUAAUAGGCAACAGACAAAGCAGGUUUAUUGCUUUUUCCAAGGAAAAGAGUAAGAAAAACAAGUCCACCAGAGCUUUAAAAUGCUGCUGCCAUUCCCUAAACUUUUAAAGGUCAGCCAAGAAACUCGGUCAUACAGAACACUCCAUUUGGGUGAAUUUUAAGGACUAAAUUUAAGCACUCGUGAAACAGAAGCCCUUAAAAUCCACCCAAAUCUGCAGAAAUGUCCAUGAAACAUUCCAGUGACCCAGCACUCAGUGUGCAGACACAGUCAGAUGUCACGAGUACAAGCAAUGGUGACAUCCCCCACAAAACCCAACCCAACCUCUCAACAUUUAACAGAGCAUUGCCAUUUUCAAACAGUUGGGAACAUCUUUUUCUUGGAUAGUAACUCUGCCUUAUGUGCUACAGGACACUUCACUCCAGGGCACAGCUUACUACAAGACCUGUACCUAUUGAGCUGGUUAAAUCAUCACUACUCACUAGUAAUUACAUGGCAGGAUACCUGCUGAGGUAAUCAAGAAACCCACAAGUAGCAUACUGUACACUUCUCACUCUUCUUUCAAAAGCAAGUUCUCUUCUACUUCUUUGGAUUAACUUAAAUGUCAGGGUCAUUUACAACAGAAAAUUGAGACACAAAUGGGCUUUUAAACAACUGUCUUAAAUGAGAGCAUAUAGUUACAGCACGUGCCAGACUUAUCUUCUUGUGAUCAGGUUAGAACAUUGCAACCAUGAGGACAAAGGAGAUGGGACAGAGAGUGCACCCACCACACCUUUGAUCUGGAGAAGUUUUCUCAGUGUAAGCCAUGCUCUAAUUCCCAGCGUAAAACACAGUCACUUGCACAUAUUGCACACACAUCAUCUGGCACAGAGAAGAUGCUGAGUAACAGCAGCCUAAACCCCAUUAAUCUGCUCUUGAACAAGUCGCAUACAGUGUGGCACCAAAACCUUGGCUUGAGCAAACCCUUACCAGCUCUGUGAUGAACACUUACAGACUACAGGAUCAGGAAAUGGAUUAGUAGAGCUUGUCAAUCCUUUCAAAUAUUAACAGAACUUAGCUAGUUGCAAAACAACCACUGAAUUGUACUGGGAGCAAAAUAUGAAGGGGUGGGAAGAAUAAAAGAGAGUGUUGGUUUCCUUUAUAAAAAAGAAACAGUAUUUCUUGCACACAAGUCCAAAUUCCACCUCCUGAGCACUGAGGAGCUGAAUGGAAGGACCAGUUCUGAAGUUCAGUGAGUUAUAUGUGCAAGAGCAGGGCUUGAACCUUCAUCAAGGUCAAAGCUCAGCAUCACUUGUGGCCUGCAAGUGAACUAGUGGAACACAGGCAAGUGGUGGGUGAGCCUCUUCUACCUUCUUGUAGGGAGUGAACCCAUCAGAGGCUCUCUCAGAACAGUCAGAAAUAAGCUCUGGGGUCUGGUACCUGGAGUCUGAGUGGCAAACAAUGGUACCUACAGGAGACAGGGAGCAUGUGGUACCCCUGAACUGCAGCUCUGUGGCCCAGCCUAGGGUGCCACCACACUUGUCCUGUGCUCCAGUGUCUGCGGUACUCAAAUCCCUGACUGGUGCCUUACAAAGUGAUCAGUUAAAAGGUUGAAGCCUGAAGGUACAGAACCUGCUUAAGUGCCAUAAAAAUAGUAACCCCAAUUGAAGAGAAUUCACAAAAAUCUUAUUUUCAUGAUAAUUUUAAUAUUCUUCCUUUGCAAAAUGAAGCUGAGAAACUAGAAAGGCAUAAAUAGGCUAUACACAGAGCCAUUAAAUGAUCCCUUGUUAAUAUUAGUGUCCUAUUCACACACGUCAUCCUUUCUACGGGCAAAGGUUUUGCUAUUUGUCAAUUUGUUUAAGCAGAAAUACGUAUCCUUUCACAUACAAACUGGUAAAAACUCAAUUUAACCUGGCACUAUGUUACCAUCUGAGAACUGAAAACAAAACCCCACCAGUUUGAGUUUUAAGUGUAACGUUUGUGUAAUCUAAAGAAGUGAGCUUGAAGGUACAAAUACCUUCAGCUCCUUCAUUUAUUACGAGAGGUACAGUCACAAUGUACAUAUACUUUGUUCUUAUAAAAGAAAUGAAAUCUUAAGUGAUUUGCACAAAAAUUGCUGAGACCAUAUCUCAAUCUGAUACACUGUGCUACAAUAUUUACCUUUACCAUUAUGGUAAAGCUUAUACAACGUCACAGGAAUUGCUCACACUGAGUAUACCCAAACCCCUGUGAUUUACCACAGAAUUGCUGCAGUCACACAAAACCUUAGGGCAAAUUUAUAGACUGUCAACUUGAGCUCAUCUGAUUACAUGAUUUCUUCAGCUUCCUUUACCUAGAUCUAUGUGAAGGCCAGAAAUUACAGUUCUUACUUCUAGGAUGUCUGUCAGUUAAGGAAACAACUGUUCAAACUAUAAUUACUUUGUGAUGACCUAAUUUGAACCAGAAACACUGGUGUGAAGGCAGUGUGCAAUGGGAAGGCACUGCAGAGAUGCCUGCCACAGGGUUUAGGGAAAUUGGUCUGGUUUCGGUAUUUGACCAGAAACCACUCCAAGCCAAAUCCUGGUCUGUGCAAGCUCUUUGUUCAAUGGACAAAUAACCCAAUCAACAGAUUCAUUCCAAUUCUUUCGAGACAUUUCGCUCCUAAGCUGCUUCUGAAGAAAGUUCUGAGUAGUACUCUAAUAAAAAUAAGACAGAACCUCAAAAUGAAUGCAAUGUUAGAAAUAGCAUAUAUUACAAAUCUUUUCUUGAUAGGAACAAUUAAUAAGAAUACAUAUUAGCUUAAAAACAGGUCAGCAAAUGUUGCUGAUCUGCAAGAAAUCUCAAUUCACUAUUUACAAAUAAGACAAAGUGAAUACAGGAAAUUUUACACAUUUGGUAGUUACUAGGUUAUUGUCUGCCAAGUGGUCUAUUUGAAACUGAUAUUUAGGAAGACUGGAAAAAACACCCCAACCAGUUAUUACCUCUUCAGUCUAUAUUUGAAGUACAGAAAAUGAGCUGAUGAAUACUGGAGAUAACAUUCUGCCUCAUUAGGGGGAGCAGGGACAGAUGACACGAUGCUAAGACUUCUGCCAUUUAAGUGUUCUGUGUACAGGACUCGUCAUAAACAUACUUAGCCCUACUGAAAAGAGACCCUUGCCACCAGUUUAGUCUUUCAUCGGUCAAGAACUCACACUCCUGCACUUGCCAAUUCAGAACAGUUUAAUGAUAUUGUUUUUUUCCUUUCGCUAUACAUAAACUGUAGUAAAGAAAGCCAAAUUUAGGUAACUGGAUCAACACAGAAGAUCAGUUAUUCACGAUACCGCUUAAAUGAGAUGAAAAAAGCAAUGACCAACACACACUGAAGUUCAUACAAAGAGGGGAUUUCAGGAAAACUGCUUACAGUUUACACUGCAGUCCAGCAUGAAUGCAAGACACUGUAACUGUGUUGUUCCAGUGCUGUGAAACGUUUUACUAUGGAGUCUUAUCUGUACAUGGAACAUCUCUUAUCAAAUCUGCUUCUCUUCUACAUUCAUCCACCUCUACCUGUGAGACCAGGAUGAGUGUGUCCCCUCCAUCAGGAAAAGAAAGGAUAUAGCAAAUAAUCAAGGAAAAAAACC
ensembl:lncRNA